rnacentral:rRNA from 1 species
AUAAAGAUCACUUUCAACAACGGAUCUCUUGGCUCUCGCAUCGAUGAAGAACGUAGCGAAGUGCGAUAAGUAAUGUGAAUUGCAGAAUUCCGUGAAUCAUCGAAUCUUUGAACGCAAAUUGCACUCUCUUCGGAGAGUAUGCCUGUUUGAGGGUCAGUA